UCAUCAACAACUCACAUUGACACCUCAGAGAGCAAAAUUCUGGCAAUGGGUCAUCCUGUAAUGAAUAAGUAGUCAUUAAAAUUCUACUAUAUGGAAAGCAACGUGCCAGCUAUUUUGAAGCAUUCAAAGAAAGAAGCUUCAAGGGUCAGAUCUUGAUAUGGACCAGACACCGCCGAAUUCUCUCUCCAACAAAAGAUUACUUCAAUGCGGGAACCAACUCCCAGCUGAAGAUUGACUACAAGAUUGGCUAUGAUUGGCUGGGCACCGUGACUCACUCUUGUGAUCCCAGCACUUUGGGAGGUUGAGGGUUGUCUCCUAGAGAUGGAAGAGCUGUAAGCAGAGACAGAAAAAUAUGUUUUCACACAAACUCUUUGGCGCAUUCGCAGAUGGCAGCAAUGAGCCAAUAAAAUACAUUUUUCUCCUUUGAGUACUUUAUAUAC
rnacentral:lncRNA from 1 species